rnacentral:rRNA from 1 species
AACGAACGCUGGCGGCGUGCCUAACACAUGCAAGUCGUACGAGAAAUCCUGAGCAAUCGGGAGAGUAAAGUGGCGCACGGGUGAGUAACGCGUGGGUAACCUAUCCUUCAAUUGGGGAUAACUCUUCGAAAGGAGGGCUAAUACCCAUUAAUAUUCUGACUCCUCAGGGAGUUGGAAUUAAAGGUGGUCUCUGCAUGCAAACUACUGGUGAAGGAUGGGGCCCGCGUACCAUUAGCUUGUUGGUAGGGUAAUGGCCUACCAAGGCAACGAUGGUUAGCUGGUCUAAGAGGAUGGCCAGCCACACUGGAACUGAGACACGGUCCAGACUCCUACGGGAGGCAG